ensembl:processed_transcript Gm38182 predicted gene, 38182
UUAGGGUCUUUGAAUAUUGGCUUAGAUCUAAGUUCAGAGUCUGGGACAGGAAAAAGGGAUCCGUUUCUUCAGCAAAGAAAUCUGUGUUUGUUCACUGUGAUCAAAUGAAAUAUUUUCAAGCCCCGCCCAACACUGACUGGCGUUUCUCUCAAGCCCAGAGACCCGGCACGAGCGGAUCCCAAAAUGGUGAUGAAACUGGCACCUGGCCCAACAACCAGUUUGAUACAGAGAUGCUGCAAGCCAUGAUCUUGGCCUCUGCCAGCGAAGCUGCUGAUGGGAGCUCUACCCUGGGAGGGGGCGCUGGCACCAUGGGUCUGAGCGCUCGAUACGGACCCCAGUUUACCCUGCAGCACGUGCCUGACUACCGCCAGAACGUGUACAUCCCUGGCAGCAAUGCCACGCUGACCAAUGCCGCUGGCAAACGAGAUGGCAAGGCUCCAGCAGGUGGUAAUGGCAACAAGAAGAAAUCGGGCAAGAAAGAGAAGAAGUAAUAUGGAGGCCAGGCCUUGAACCACAAGGCAGCCUCCCUCCCCAGCCAGUCCAGCUCGUCCUUACUUUGUACCCAGGCCUCAGAAUUUCAGGGCUCACCCCAGGAUACUGGUAGGAGCCAGGGCCAUGCUCCCCGUUGGGAAACAGAAACACGUGCCCAAGCCAACACCCCCUCUCUAUACCCUAGGGAGUUGAAUAUGCAAAGAGAGUUUUGCUGGGACCCCCCCUAUUCAAUCAGUGAUUGUACCCACAUGG